rnacentral:lncRNA from 1 species
AUUUUCUUACCCCAAAUAUAUCAAGUUGUGUUGUGCAAAAAAAAGCCUUUUGUAAUCAAUAACUCUUCUCUGUACAGAGUGGGCAGAGUGGAUCAUACAGUGGUGGCCGCCCCUAUGGACAGGGUGGACAGAGUGGAUCAUAUGGUGGUGGCAGCCAGUAUGGGCAGGGUGGAUCAUAUGGAAGCAGCAACAACUAUGGACAGGUAAAAAUAUUUUAUAAUGUGGUAUUUAUGAAAUUUAUGCCAUAGUAGGGUUUGUGGAUGCAUAAUCCAGUUGAUUUUCUGUGCUUUUUUGGCUGUUUUACAACAGCAUCAACUAUGGCAUCUUUCUGGAGCACUUGAGUUGGGUGAAGGGACUGCUCUGUAGUGGUUCUGCUGGUUUGGCUCAUUUCCAGAUUAUGAUGCCAGGGGUUUCCGCUUGAACAUGGAGAUUUCCUCCUGUAGAGUCCUCCUUAUCACCUACAUGAAACCACU